UGAAUGUAUUGUUGUUAAUCUUUCGUGGCACCGCUGGUGACCAUGGCUACUGGGGUAGGAGUUCACCCUGGUGUUGAGGGAUGGCAGCAAUUCGGUGCUGCUGUGGCCCCUGAGGGAUCACUCCCCAUUGUCGCCCAAGUCCAUGGUGGUGGACUUAGAAUUGUGAGCUAGUCUGGUGGAGCUGGCUGUCCCAUAGCAUGCAGGAAAUUGAUUUGGACCCGAUGUUGUGGAGGAUGCUGCCAGACUGCAUAAUCCAGCACACAACUGCAAUGGUGAAGAAUCCACAUUAAUGUAAAUACAUGGCUUCUCUGAAUAUUAUUUCAAGAUGCAGCAGUUAAUAAUUACAAGUGACAGCACUUGCAACCUGGACGUAAGCAUUUCUCACAUAAACUUUAGCAGGCCCAGUGUGUCACUGGUUUCUACACCAGCUGUCGCUUCAGUCUCUCUGCCAGUCACAGCCAGCACCAUCCACUGUGGUGCCCAUGGAGGUCGACACUCCUCCACUGUCGCCACCGCUGAUGUCACCGAUGUUGGCGCCCAUUACCCGCGGCCUGAACCGGUGUCUGUCGACACAACCACAGGUGCCCACACCGUGGGGCCUGAGGGGGCCCGUGCCCCCUCAAAAAUUCAUUUUGGGGGGCGGGGAGGGACGGAGCCCCCAAUAAUUUAAGAAAAUUAUUAGUUGUAUUAUGCUUUGUAAAAUCACAAAAUUAUGUCAGAUUUUUUUAUUUUCUUUGUUUGAUGAUAGUUACCUUUAAAAUACAUCCAGUAAAGAGUUAAAACAAAUAAGUAUUACGGUAGUAGGCAGCUUAACUGAAAAUGAGUGGUGUGAAUCAUGAUAGCGUUACAGUACUCUGGACACACUUAGAAUUUGUCCUGGUGUGUUAGCCUUUGGGUAAAGUCUGGCACCAGCGAGCAGUGCUGUGGCCGCGGCAACAUCAAAAGGACUGGAGCAGAAGCACCUGGAACCCUUCACCUCAUGUCGCCUUGACACUUUGAGACACUACGACGAUGCAGCUAUAUACAGCCCACCCUGCUGUCGCAGUCAUUCAGUGUGGAUAGUUUCGAUCAGUGCAUGCUGCAGACGUGUUUAGUGUUACGACUUUAGUGUCUAGUGGACUACUUUAUAUGACUGUAUUUCAUCCGUUUAUUUUAGUCUCUUAGUGUAUUGUGAAUUAAGUUUGCAAUGGGUAAAUUUGUAACCAAAAAGGUACGCUUGGAAGUUGAUUAUACUGCAAGUCAACCUCCAACAAUUAUUGUGUCAUCAAUUGCUUCGUCGUCUUCAGAUGAGAACCGUUCACAGACGAAACCUAGACAAUCUGAUAAGGGAAGAUCAUUUCAGAAGUCUUGGUAGAUCAAAUAUACAUGGCUAGAAUAUGAAGCACCUACGGAAUAAGUAUUUUUGCAAAACCUGCAAAGAGGCAGAUGCUAAAAAAAAUCUAUUACAAUUUCUU